AGGUGUAUGUCCGACGAAACAAUGGGUUCCGUUCAACAACAAGUGCUACCUGUUUCGGGAAAAAAUAAUGACUGCUGUUGACAGCUUGGCCUACUGUGAAAGCAUUAACGCUAAAAUGGUACGGAUCGAUGACGAGGCUGUGAGUGAUUUCCUCCAGUCAGAGAAGGAAAAAAGGGGUUUGACAACAUUAUGGAUUGCUGCAAACGAUAGAACUACGGAAGGAGAAUGGGUCUGGGGUCCUGGAGAUAGUGUAAGGAAUGGCAAGUGGAGACCAACUGAACCAAAUGGCCACACAGAAGAGAACUGCGUCAUCUCAACGCCUCUAUGGAAUGAUGUAGGAUGUUCGAACUAUUUAUCAUAUCCCGUGUGUGAAGUUACUUAUAACAUUUCGUUCUAAUUUAGUUUUUACUACAUUGUUGUGUUGUUGUUGUUGUUGUUGUUGUUAAGAGUUUUAUUUCCCGCAAUAUCAGGACGCUUAGGUAGUCUGAAAUCUUGAAGAACAUCAAAAAAAAAGAAAAAAAAAAGAAGAAAUGUUGAAAUGUUGGAGACAGAAUCAUGGAGAAUAAAAUAAGAAAAAAAUAUUGAAACUUCGCUCAUUCAAUGACCCAAAAGAAAACGGCAGGUCAUGAACCACUUCAAGACGUCGUCAAGCAUUCCAUACAGCGUACACAUAUUGCUCAUUUGCAGUGUAUUACCGUUGGAACUUGUGAACUUAACUGGAAUAAAUAAGUGUGAAAUUAUCCCUUAUUCGACAAAAACUGGCAGAGUUAGAUUAUGCAGCUUUCAAUCGUUAAGUCACCACAACAUUGGUCACGGUAACUUUUUGCCAAUUUUCCUUUUUUCUUUUCACUUGGUAACACGAUACCUUAUCAACGUGAAUGGUGUUUGAUUUAAUUUGUUAGCUUGGUAGAAGAUCUCGGACAGUCUUGAAAUAUUUACUUUUUCCAAAACUGCAUACCCUUUUCGGGGCCAAAUAUCCUAGGAUAUACAACGGUACAGAAAUUGGUAUUUUGUUUUGGAACAACGGAUACCUGUCUUUUACCAUGCAUAUAAUUAUGUAUAUUUGUAUAAGAGUAUUGUAAACAUUAUUAUAUCCCUGGUACACAUUUGACAAAAUAUCGAGGUUAUCGGGGUCAAAGUAAAAUGUGUUGCAAAUAGCUAAUCAUGUCAGAAAAUGUAGGUACAUUAGAGUACUUUAGACAUUGAUACAAGCUGCAGAGCUAAACUUCUGUAGUCUGAUGGUAAAACAAUUGAAAUUGCUGAACGACUUUAUAUCUUUGAAACAAUAGGUACAUGUAUUUUCCUUACGCAUAUAUAUAUAUUUGAGUACGAGAGGGAUGGAUCGAAGCUAUUAUUUGGACGAAUCUUCGAGAUGAAAAUGGUCAAAGUUCAACAUAUAUCGUAUUGUAGAUAUUGGUGUAAUCUGCGCGUUAAAGGUCACGGAUGAGAUAUUGUACGAAAUCGUCGAUAUAUGGUUUUACACAAACUAUUCGAAAACAAAGCUUUUUAUAUACUUUCUUGGCACCGGAAACAACGCAUCCAAUAUCGCGACCAGUAGUGAUCUAAGGUGGAACUCUAAUACCUUCAAACAGGAACUCGUAGAAUGUAGUAUGUAGAAUCUGAUCGCAGGUACUACGGUCGUAUUGUAAAAGACAUUGGCGUAGCAAUAACGUAUGCGUAUAUGCUUAAGCAUACACUAGAAUUCCAUUGAGAAUUUUUUUCUGACCUUUGUUUUUACUUAACUUUGAAAAAUCGUGUUGCUUUGUUCGAUAAAUAUGCAUAAACAUGUACAUAUAUAACAUUAAACUAUCAUUUUCUUUUCCGCGUGUAGUAUACAUGAACAUGUAUAUUGAUUUUGAUACGGAAUAUUUAGCCAUUCAAAUAUAUUCGGUUCUGGUUAUUGUUGUAACGAUUCUGUAUUCUGGUUAUAAAAUCUAUUCCCGCUACACUACCAAGAUGGCAGAGCGUAAAUUACCGAACUUUUUAAUGUUAACCGGACAUUUUGAUCUGUCUCGGGAUGGCAAUUUAGAAAGUGAAAACAGAAAGACAAGCCCUUCUGAUACUAUGUCUAGUGACACAUCUCAGGGCAAAUCGCAGCUUUCCGACUAAAAAACUCCUUAUGCUAAUAUCAUUUCAGAAAACGCACUGAAGGAUGAGUGUUCGUCGUUCUCUUCUAUUGGCGACUAAACAUGAUAUUGCUCACUUUAAUUUUCCAAUCAGUGAACAAGUUGAUGAAUUUAUUAAACAAAUACCUAAUCAACAGUUAUUUGUAUGUCUCUAAAACCAAUUGUAAAUAUUUUACAUACAAGACUCAGGCAUCAGUGUAGCUCCUUGAAAUAUGAUUUGUUCCCUGGUUAGAUUGUUGACAACCCUUCAUGUAACUGUGGACAUUCCUGUGAGGAUGUUACACACUUUUUCUUAGAAUGUAAACUUGAUAAUGCAGCACGAAUUACACUAUUUCAAAACACUAGGUCGUUAAAUAUAUAUCCAGUCAAUCUAGACUUAUUUUAUUUGAAAUGAAAAUCUGUCCGUAGACAUAAAUAAAGAAGUUUUCAGACGCAUACAUAUUUUCAUCAAAUCAAGCAACAGGUUUUAAGUAAAAUGUAUUGAUUGUAUAUUAUUAUUUGUAUGCCUUGUUAAAUGUUAUCAUGUAAAUAUCAAUAUAUGAACUGUAUCAGAGGAAAAGGGCGUCGAUAAGUAGGAAAAACUUGUGCCUAAUCCUCUGCUCAAUUUUGGGCCAAUAAAUAUGUUAAAAUCAAUCAAAAACCCGAUUCCGUCAAUGUUUCUAAACUCAUUGUAAUUCGCAUAGUUAAGGUUAUGCCUACCACUACCAGUAUACAUCAACGAAAAUUAAAAAGGAAUCGAAAAAGGUAACGGAAAGAUUGUCAUCACUGGCAGCGUUGCAUAUGCAGGGCAGUGGAAACCUUCCGCGAAAUCAGACAAGCGACUGGCAUAUUUUAUCUAAGUUUGACAUAUAGUUGAUGAAACAGCGAUAAUUGUCAACAAAAAUAAUUUCUGCAUUUUGUCACUUCUAUCGAAUAAAAA